rnacentral:rRNA from 1 species
AUUGAACGCUGGCGGCAGGCCUAACACAUGCAAGUCGAACGAGUGGCGGACGGGUGACCAAUGUCUGGGAAACUGCCUGAUGGAGGGGGAUAACUACCGGAAACGGUAGCUAAUACCGCAUACCAUCGGAUGUGCCCAGGUGGGAUUAGCCAGUAGGUGGGGUAACGGCUCACCUAGGCGACGAUCCCUAGCUGGUCUGAGAGGAUGACCAGCCACACUGGAACUGAGACACGGUCCAGACUCCUACGGGAGGCAGCAGUAGGGAAUAUUGCACAAUGGGCGCAAGCCUGAUGCAGCCAGGCCGCGUGUAUGAAGAAGGCCUUCGGGUUGUAAAGUACUUUCAGCGGGGAGGCGUUACCCACAGAAGAAGCACCGGCUAACUCCGUGCCAGCAGCCGCGGUAAUAC